rnacentral:rRNA from 1 species
AGACCCGAAACCCGGUGAUCUAGCCAUGGGCAGGUUGAAGGUUGGGUAACACUAACUGGAGGACCGAACCGACUAAUGUUGAAAAAUUAGCGGAUGACUUGUGGCUGGGGGUGAAAGGCCAAUCAAACCGGGAGAUAGCUGGUUCUCCCCGAAAGCUAUUUAGGUAGCGCCUCGUGAAUUCAUCUCCGGGGGUAGAGCACUGUUUCGGCAAGGGGGUCAUCCCGACUUACCAACCCGAUGCAAACUGCGAAUACCGGAGAAUGUUAUCACGGGAGACACACGGCGGGUGCUAACGUCCGUCGUGAAGAGGGAAACAACCCAGACCGCCAGCUAAGGUCCCAAAGUCAUGGUUAAGUGGGAAACGAUGUGGGAAGGCCCAGACAGCCAGGAUGUUGGCUUAGAAGCAGCCAUCAUUUAAAGAAAGCGUAAUAGCUCACUGGUCGAGU